CCUCAGCUGGACAGGGGAUAGAAAAUACAAUGAAAGGCUCAUGGGUCAAGAUAAGGGCAGGAAGAGAUCACUCACCAAUUACAGUCAUAGGCAAAACAGAUUUGACUUGGGGAAAGUCAUUCAAUUUAUUACCAAUCAAAUCAGAGUAGGAUAAUGGGAAAUAAAAACUAAAUCUUGAAAACAACUUGCCCCAUUCCUGCCUUUUUCCAGGCUCAAUUCUAUUCCCAAAAUCUCUACCUCCUCUUCACCAACAGUGGGGAUGAGGAAUGGGGGCUGUGGUCAGUUCAUCC